CAGCAGCCGCGGUAAUACGUAGGGUGCAAGCGUUAAUCGGAAUUACUGGGCGUAAAGCGUGCGCAGGCGGUUAUAUAAGACAGAUGUGAAAUCCCCGGGCUCAACCUGGGAACUGCAUUUGUGACUGUAUAGCUAGAGUACGGCAGAGGGGGAUGGAAUUCCGCGUGUAGCAGUGAAAUGCGUAGAUAUGCGGAGGAACACCGAUGGCGAAGGCAAUCCCCUGGGCCUGUACUGACGCUCAUGCACGAAAGCGUGGGGAGCAAACAGGAUUAGAUAUCCCUGUAGUCCCUGUCUCUUAUAC
rnacentral:rRNA from 1 species